rnacentral:rRNA from 1 species
CCUACGGGGGGCUGCAGUGGGGAAUAUUGUGCAAUGGGGGCAACCCUGACACAGCGACGCCGCGUGAGCGAAGAAGGCCUUAGGGUCGUAAAGCUCUGUUAUACGGGACGAAUACUAUAUAUAUGAACAAUAUAUAUAGCUGACGGUAUCGUACGAGCAAGCCCCGGCUAACUAUGUGCCAGCAGCCGCGGUAAGACAUAGGGGGCUAGCGUUGUCCGGAAUUACUGGGCGUAAAGGGCACGUAGGCGGAAACUUAAGUCAGGUGUGAAAGACCGCAGCUUAACUGCGGUAUUGCAUUUGAAACUAGGUUUCUUGAGGGCAGGAGAGGAAAGCAGAAUUCCUGGUGUAGCGGUGAAAUGCGUAGAAAUCAGGAGGAAUACCGGUGGCGAAGGCGGCUUUCUGGACUGACCCUGACGCUGAUGUGCGAAAGCGUGGUUAGCAAACAGGCUUAGAUACCCCUGUAGUC